rnacentral:rRNA from 1 species
GAUGAACGCUAGCGGCAGGCCUAACACAUGCAAGUCGAGGGGUAACUAGAGUGAUAGCAAUAUUACUUUGGCUAGACCGGCGCACGGGUGCGUAACACGUAUGCAACCUACCUUAUACUGGGGAAUAACUUCGAGAAAUCGGCGCUAAUACCCCAUAACACUGCGGAAAGGCCUCUCUUUGCAGUUAAAGCUCCGGCGGUAUAAGUUGGGCAUGCGUCCAAUUCGCUAGUUGGUGAGGUAACGGCUCAACAAGGCUACGAUUGGUAGGGGUUCUGAGAGGAUGAUCCCCCACACUGGUACUGAGACACGGACCAGACUCCUACGGGAGGCAGCAGUGAGGAAUAUUGCGCAAUGGACGAAAGUCUGACGCAGCCAUGCCGCGUGCAGGAUGACGGCCCUAUGGGUUGUAAACUGCUUUUGUACGGGAAUAAACCCUUCUACGUGUAGGAGGCUGAAGGUACCGUAAGAAUAAGCACCGGCUAACUCCGUGCCAGCAGCCGCAGUAA